AACGAACGCUGGCGGCAGGCUUAACACAUGCAAGUCGAACGCCCCGCAAGGGGAGUGGCAGACGGGUGAGUAACGCGUGGGAAUCUACCGUACCCUACGGAAUAGCUCCGGGAAACUGGAAUUAAUACCGUAUACGCCCUACGGGGGAAAGAUUUAUCGGGGUAUGAUGAGCCCGCGUUGGAUUAGCUAGUUGGUGGGGUAAAGGCCUACCAAGGCGACGAUCCAUAGCUGGUCUGAGAGGAUGAUCAGCCACAUUGGGACUGAGACACGGCCCAAACUCCUACGGGAGGCAGCAGUUGGGAAUAUUUGACAAUGGGCGCAAGCCUGAUCCAGCCAUGCCGCGUGAGUGAUGAAGGUCUUAGGAUUGUAAAGCUCUUUCACCGAUGAAGAUAAUGACGGUAGUCGGAGAAGAAGCCCCGGCUAACUUCGUGCCAGCCGCCGCCGUAAAAC
rnacentral:rRNA from 1 species